UACGAAGGGGGCUAGCGUUGCUCGGAAUCACUGGGCGUAAAGCGCACGUAGGCGGCUUCUUAAGUCAGGGGUGAAAUCCUGGAGCUCAACUCCAGAACUGCCUUUGAUACUGAGGAGCUUGAGUCCGGGAGAGGUGAGUGGAACUGCGAGUGUAGAGGUGAAAUUCGUAGAUAUUCGCAAGAACACCAGUGGCGAAGGCGGCUCACUGGCCCGGUACUGACGCUGAGACGCGAAAGCGUGGGGAGCGAGUCCGG
rnacentral:rRNA from 1 species